GACAGAGGGUGCAAACGUUGUUCGGAAUUACUGGGCGUAAAGCGCAUGUAGGCGGCCUGACAGGUCGGAUGUGAAAUCCCUCGGCUCAACCAAGGAAGUGCAUUCGAAACCGUCAGGCUGGAGUCCCGGAGAGGAAGGUGGAAUUCUCGGUGUAGAGGUGAAAUUCGUAGAUAUCGAGAGGAACACCGGUGGCGAAAGCGGCCUUCUGGACGAGGACUGACGCUGAGGAGCGAAAGUGUGGGGAGCGAACAGG
rnacentral:rRNA from 1 species